CCUACGGGAGGCAGCAGUGGGGAAUAUUGCACAAUGGGGGAAACCCUGAUGCAGCGACGCCGCGUGAGUGAAGAAGUAAUUCGUUAUGUAAAGCUCUAUUAGCAGGGAAGAAAAAGACAGUACCUGUAGCAUAAGCUCCGGCUAACUACGUGCCAGCAGCCGCGGUAAUACGUAGGGAGCCAGCGUUAUCCGGAAUUAUUGGGUGUAAAGGGUGCGUAGACGGGGAAGCAAGUUAGUUGUGAAAGCCCUCGGCUUAACUGAGGAACUGCAACUAAAACUGCUUCCCUUGAGUAGUGGAGAGGAAAGUGGAAUGCGUAGUGUAGCGGUGAAAUGCGUAGAUAUUAGGAAGAACACCAGUGGCGAAGGCGACUUUCUGGACAGUAACUGACGUUGAGGCACGAAAGUGUGGGGAGCGAACAGGAUUAGAUACCCCAGUAGUC
rnacentral:rRNA from 1 species